AUUGAACGCUGGCGGCGUGCCUAACACAUGCAAGUCGAGCGGUAACAGGUGUAGCAAUACAUGCUGACGAGCGGCGAACGGGUGAGUAAUGCUUCGGAAUCUACCCAAUGGUGGGAAUAACCAGCCGAAAGGUUGGCUAAUACCGCAUACGUCCCACGGGAGAAAGCAGGGGAUCGCAAGACCUUGCGCCAAUGGAUGAGCCGAAGUCGGAUUAGCUAGUUGGAGGGUAACGGCCUACCAAGGCGACGAUCCGUAGCUGGUCUGAGAGGACGACCAGCCACACUGGGACUGAGACACGGCCCAGACUCCUACGGGAGCAGCAGU
rnacentral:rRNA from 1 species